GGUGGUGCAUGGCUAUCGUCAGCUCGUGCCGUAAGGUGUUGGGUUAAGUCCCACAACGAGCGCAACCCUCGUGUUUAGUUGCCAUCGUUGAGUUUGGAACCUUGAACAGACUGUCGGUGAUAAGCCGGAGGAAGGUGAGGAUGACGUCAAGUCAUCAUGCCCC
rnacentral:rRNA from 1 species